AUUGAACGCUGGCGGCAGGCCUAACACAUGCAAGUCGCACGAGUGGCGGACGGGUGCGUAAUGUCUGGGAAACUGCCUGAUGGAGGGGGAUAACUCCUGGAAACGGUAGCUAAUACCGCAUACCAUCAGAUGUGCCCAGAUGGGAUUAGCUUGUUGGUGGGGUAACGGCUCACCAGGGCGACGAGCCCUAGCUGGUCUGAGAGGAUGACCAGCCACACGCGAACUGAGACACGGUCCAGACCCCUACGGAAGGCAGCAGUGGGGAAUAUUGCACAAUGGGCGCAAGCCUGAUGCAGCCAUGCCGCGUGGAUGAAGAAGGCCUGCGGGUUGUAAAGUACUUUCAGCGGGGAGGCGUUACCCGCAGAAGAAGCACCGGCUAACUCCGUGCCAGCAGCCGCGGUAAUUC
rnacentral:rRNA from 1 species